rnacentral:rRNA from 1 species
UACGUAGGGGGCAAGCGUUGUCCGGAAUUAUUGGGCGUAAAGAGCGUGUAGGCGGUCCGGUAAGUCCGCUGUGAAAGUCGGGGGCUCAACCCUCGAAUGCCGGUGGAUACUGUCGGGCUAGAGUGCGGAAGAGGCGAGUGGAAUUCCUGGUGUAGCGGUGAAAUGCGCAGAUAUCAGGAGGAACACCAAUGGCGAAGGCAGCUCGCUGGGACGGUACUGACGCUGAGGCGCGAAAGCGUGGGGAGCAAACAGG